CUCAGAAGUGGCAAAAUCCCCCAAACGACAUCGGAGUUUCCUAGGGAUCAAUGGCAUCGGUGACUGAGUCGCCGAGUUCUGUUCGAAAAGUGAUUGUUCAAUUAAAAGCAACUGCCGAUGCUCCUAUACUCAAGCAGAAUAAGUUCAAGAUACCUGGAACUGAUAAAUUUGCUAAGGUGAUUGACUUUUUGAGGAGACAACUUCACAGAGAGACUGUGUUUGUAUAUAUCAACAGCGCAUUCUCUCCAAACCCUGAUGAAUUGGUUAUUGAUCUAUUUAAUGUAAGUUGUUUUUAGUUAUUUUGUUUCCUUGGAUUUUAUGUUUCCUCUUCAGUUGUGGGCCUUUGGCUAUGUAUGGAUAUCUGCUAUACAGAAAAAACAUUACUUAGUCAAUAUCAGAUCAUGUCUAGUCAUAGAAAACCAUCUAGACAUUUGUUGGGUGAAUUUUAUGCUUGUUUCUCAUUUCCUUCUUUUGUGAUCCUUGGUGAAUGCAAUCUGAGUGCAUUAGAAGAGCAUUGAUGAAUUCCAUCAUAAUGUUCAUUAUAAAUUAUGGAUACCAAGGGAUGGCACUAAUCUAUGGCAUAUAGUACAGAGAUACCUUGUGUAAUUUAUUUGUGUAUUUGUUCAUGUCUUGGAUUUGGGAAAAUUAUUUCUUAAUAUACUAACACUUUUAAGCAUUAAGCAUUUUGGUAGUAAGACAGGGGAGGUGAAAAUAUGCAGUGGUUCACGUGAAAUAGUUGUUAGUUUCCAUUUAUUAUUCCUGACUGUCCAUUAGCUAAGGUGUCAGUGAAAAUUUUUCAUAUAAAUGAAAGUAGAUUCUGUCUCACAUUGUCUGUGGUAUCCCACUUUGGUGUCUUUUCCUAUUAUAGGUGUGUACUAAUUUGUCUUCAACUAGCUGCCCUCCUCUCGUGAUAAACACAGCUAAGUACUGUAUCAUUGCAUGUUUUACACGUGCAACAUGAAUUUGUGAAUAUUACCAUAUGAGUUUCAAAUAUUGAUCUAUGACAAUGAACUCAGUUGGUUUAUUUGUUGGGGAGAAGAAUUCUAUUUAGUUUUUGUGAAUUUUUCUCUUAUUUUUUCAUCAAAUACCAGGAGUUUUAGAUUUUUGUUGUUUGGUUGAUUUUUUUGAUAAAAUUUUCUGUAUUAUGAUGAUUUCUCUGCUGAAAUGCUUCCAACCUGGUUCAGUUUUGAUAUUUUAUUAUGUAUUUCUCUAUCUUAUAGCCAUUUAUACUUUAAUAAUGCAG
rnacentral:misc_RNA from 1 species